rnacentral:rRNA from 1 species
GACGAACGCUGGCGGCGUGCUUAACACAUGCAAGUCGAACGGAAAGGCCCUGCUUUUGUGGGGUGCUCGAGUGGCGAACGGGUGAGUAACACGUUAGUAACCUGCCCUUUACUUUUGGAUAACUUCAGGAAACUGGGGCUAAUACCGGAUAGGAGCUCCUGCUGCAUGGUGGGGGUUGUAAAGUUUCGGCGGUUGGGGAUGGACUCGCGGCUUAUCAGCUUGUUGGUGGGGUAGUGGCUUACCAAGGCUUUGACGGGUAGCCGGCCUGAGAGGGUGACCGGCCACAUUGGGACUGAGAGACGGACCAGACUCCUACGGGAGGCAGCAGUGGGGAAUAUUGCACAAUGGGCGGAAGCCUGAUGCAGCAACGCCGCGUGCGGGAUGACGGCCUUCGGGUUGUAAACAGCUUUCGACUGUGACGAAGAGUGAGUGACGGUAAUGGGUAAAGAAGCACCGGCUAACUACGUG